rnacentral:rRNA from 1 species
GCAAGUCGAGCGAACAGACGAGGAGCUUGCUCCUUUGACGGUAGCGGCGGACGGGUGAGUAACACUUGGGUAACCUACCUAUAAGACUGGGAUAACUUCGGGACACCGGCGCUAAUACCGGAUAAUAUUUCGAACCGCAUGGUUCGAUAGUGAAAGAUGGCUUUGCUAUCACUUAUAGAUUGACCUGCGCCGGAUUAGCUAGUUGGUAAGGUAACGGCUUACCAAGGCAACGAUACGUAGCCGACCUGAGAGGGUGAUC